rnacentral:rRNA from 1 species
AUUGAACGCUGGCGGCAGGCUUAACACAUGCAAGUCGAACGAGUGGCGGACGGGUGAGUAAUGCUUGGGAAUCUAGCUUAUGGAGGGGGAUAACUACGGGAAAAUGUAGCUAAUACCGCGUACCAUAGGAUGAGCCCAAGUGGGAUUAGGUGGUUGGUGGGGUAAAGGCUCAACAAGCCGACGAUCCCUAGCUGGUCUGAGAGGAUGACCAGCCAUAUGGGGACUGAGACACGGCCCAUACUCCUACGGGAGGCAGCAGGGGGGAAUAGUGCGCAAUGGGGGCAACCUGAUGCAGCCAUGCCGCGUGUAUGAAGAAGGCCUUCGGGUUGUAAAGUACUUUCGGUAGCGAGGCGUUAUCUACAGAAGAAGCACCGGCUAACUCCGUGCCAGCAGCCGCGGUAAUUC